rnacentral:rRNA from 1 species
UCCUUAGAUGUUCUGGGCCGCACGCGCGCUACACUGAUGCAUUCAACGAGUUUCUUCCUGGUCCGAGAGGAGUGGGUAACCUUUUGAAAGUGCAUCGUGAUAGGGAUAGACUAUUGCAAUUAUUGGUCUUCAACGAGGAAUUCCUAGUAGACGUAGUUCAUCAGACUGCAUCGAUUACGUCCCUGCCCUUUGUACACACCGCCCGUCGCUCCUACCGAUUGAAUGCUCAGGUGAGCCAUUCGGACUUUCAUCAUGCUGGUUUCCAGUUUUGAUGAAGGAAAGUCUUGCGAACCUUAUCAUUUAGAGGAAGGAGAAGUCGUAACA